rnacentral:rRNA from 1 species
UACGUAGGGUGCGAGCGUUAAUUGGAAUUACUGGGCGUAAAGCGUGCGCAGGCGGUUUUGUAAGCCAGAUGUGAAAUCCCCGGGCUUAACCUGGGAAUGGCAUUUGGGACUGCAAGGCUGGAGUGCGGCAGAGGAGACUGGAAUUCCUGGUGUAGCAGUGAAAUGCGUAGAUAUCAGGAGGAACACCGAUGGCGAAGGCAGGUCUCUGGGCUGACACUGACGCUCAUGCACGAAAGCGUGGGGAGCAAACAGG